AAUUAGGAUGAUUCCUCCAAUUUCGAUUGUAAGUGUUCCCAUAUUAGGCUUAUUGAUUCAUCGGACCUCUGUUUUGUUGCCCAACAUAAUAAAUAGAUUCAGGAUUCAUGGGGCACAUGUCACUCGUGUGAUUGUCACCACACAUUUCACAUCAAAUUGACAUUUGUUGAACCUGCUGCAUUGGUUGUGAUGGUCCCAUUAUCAUUCUGGUCAUUUGAUUUGCCAAUUUUGCUAGAUUUGCUCUCAUGGCGGAAAUGUCAUCCAAUUC
rnacentral:lncRNA from 1 species